rnacentral:rRNA from 1 species
GAUGAACGCUGGCGGCGUGCUUAACACAUGCAAGUCGAACGAAGCACUUUUGCUGAUACCUUCGGGUGGAUUUAAAAGUGACUGAGUGGCGGACGGGUGAGUAACGCGUGGGUAACCUGCCUCACACAGGGGGAUAAGAGUUAGAAAUGACUGCUAAUACCGCAUAACCGCACGGUCUCGCAUGGGACAAGUGUGAAAAACUCCGGUGGUGUGAGAUGGACCCGCGUCUGAUUAACUAAUUGGCGGGGUAACGGCACUACCAAGGCGACGAUCAGAAACCGACCUCGAGAGGGUGACCGGCCGCAUUGGGAGUGAGACACGGCCCAAUCUCAUACGGGAGGCCGCAGUGGGGUAUAUUGCACAAUGGGGGAAUCCGUGAUGCAGAGACGCCGCGGUGAUUGAAGAAGUAUUUCGUUAUGUAAUGAUGUAUCAGCAAGGAAGAAAAUGACGGUAUUCGAGUAAGAAGCCCCGGCUAACUACGUGCCAGCAGCCGCGGUAAUACGUAGGGGGCAAGCGUUAUCCGGAUUUAUUGGGUGUAAAGGGAGCGUAGGCGGUCUGGCAAGUCAGAAGUGAAAGCCCGGGGCUUAACCCCGAGACUGCUUUUGGAACUUUUAGACUAGAGUCUCGGAGAGGUAAGUGGAAUUCCUAGUGUAGCAGUGAAAUGCGUAGAUAUUAGGAGGAACACCAGUGGCGAAGGCGGUUUACUGGACGAUAACUGACGUUGAGGCUGGAAAGCGUGGGGAGCAAACAGGAUUAGAUACCCUGGUAGUCCACUCCGUAAACGAUGAAUAAUAGGUGGUGGGAGUCAUGGCUCUUCGGUGCCGCAGCAAACGCAAUAAGUAUUCCACCUGGGGAGUACGUUCGCAAGAAUGAAACUCAAAGGAAUUGACGGGGGCCCGCACAAGCGGCGGAGCAUGUGGUUUAAUUCGAAGCAACGCGAAGAACCUUACCAAGUCUUGACAUCCCGAUGACCGUUCCGUAAUGGGGAGUUCUCUUUCGAGCAUCGGUGCCAGGUGGGGCAUGGUGUUCUUCAGCUCGUGUCGUGAGAGGUUGGGUUAAGUCCCCCACCGAGCGCAACCCCUUUUUUCAUUAGCCAGCAUUAUAGAUGGGCACUCUGGAGAGACUGCCAGGGAUAACUUGGAGGAAGGUGGGGAGGACGUCAAAUCAUCAUGCCCCUUAUGACUUGGGCUACACACGUGCUACAAUGGCCUAAACAAAGAGAAGCGAAGUUGUGAGGCAGAGCAAAUCUCAAAAAAAACGUCUCAGUUCGGAUUGUAGUCUGCAACUCGCCCACAUGAAGUUGGAAUCGCUAGUAAUCGCGGAUCAGAAUG